rnacentral:rRNA from 4 species
AAAUUGAAGAGUUUGAUCAUGGCUCAGAUUGAACGCUGGCGGCAGGCCUAACACAUGCAAGUCGAACGGUAACAGGAAACAGCUUGCUGUUUCGCUGACGAGUGGCGGACGGGUGAGUAAUGUCUGGGAAACUGCCUGAUGGAGGGGGAUAACUACUGGAAACGGUAGCUAAUACCGCAUAACGUCGCAAGACCAAAGAGGGGGACCUUCGGGCCUCUUGCCAUCGGAUGUGCCCAGAUGGGAUUAGCUAGUAGGUGGGGUAACGGCUCACCUAGGCGACGAUCCCUAGCUGGUCUGAGAGGAUGACCAGCCACACUGGAACUGAGACACGGUCCAGACUCCUACGGGAGGCAGCAGUGGGGAAUAUUGCACAAUGGGCGCAAGCCUGAUGCAGCCAUGCCGCGUGUAUGAAGAAGGCCUUCGGGUUGUAAAGUACUUUCAGCGGGGAGGAAGGGAGUAAAGUUAAUACCUUU